rnacentral:tRNA from 16 species
GCCGGUGUAUCCCAACUGGUAGAGGAGGCUGUCCUAAAAACAGCUCGAGUGUCGGUUCGACUCCGACCACCGGCACAA